rnacentral:rRNA from 1 species
CAGUAGCCGCGGGAACACGGAGGGUGCAAGCGUUAAUCGGAAUUACUGGGCGUAAAGCGUGCGUAGGCGGCUUCUUAAGUCGGAUGUGAAAUCCCUGAGCUUAACUUAGGAAUUGCAUUCGAUACUGGGAAGCUAGAGUAUGGGAGAGGAUGGUAGAAUUCCAGGUGUAGCGGUGAAAUGCGUAGAGAUCUGGAGGAAUACCGAUGGCGAAGGCAGCCAUCUGGCCUAAUACUGACGCUGAGGUACGAAAGCAUGGGGAGCAAACAGGAUUAGAUACCCCGGUAGUCCCUGUCUCUUAUAC